rnacentral:tRNA from 2 species
GGGGCAUUAGCGCAGUUGGGAGCGCGUUUGAAUGGCAUUCAAAAGGUCACGGGUUCAAGUCCCGUAUGCUCCA